GCCAGGCGUGGUGGCGGGUGCCUGUAAUCCCAGCUACUGGGGAGGCUGAGGCAGGAGAAUCGCUUGAACCCGGGAGGUUGCAGUGAGCCGAGAUUGCGCCACUGCACUCCAGCCUGGGUGACAGAGCGAGACUCCGCCUCAA
rnacentral:SRP_RNA from 1 species